rnacentral:rRNA from 1 species
GAUCAUGGCUCAGGAUGAACGCUAGCUACAGGCUUAACACAUGCAAGUCGAGGGGCAGCAUUUUAGUUUGCUUGCAAACUAAAGAUGGCGACCGGCGCACGGGUGAGUAACACGUAUCCAACCUGCCGAUAACUCGGGGAUAGCCUUUCGAAAGAAAGAUUAAUAUCCGAUGGUAUAUUUUCUCCGCAUAGUGAGAAUAUUAAAGAAUUUCGGUUAUCGAUGGGGAUGCGUUCCAUUAGUUUG